AGAGUUUGAUCAUGGCUCAGAAUCAACGCUGGCGGCGCGCUUAACACAUGCAAGUCGCACGAGAAAGGGAGCAAUCCUAAGUAAAGUGGCGCACGGGUGAGUAACACGUGGAUCAUCUACCUUUUAGUGGGGAAUACCUCUGGGAAACCGGAGACAAUACCGCAUAAGCCCGCAAGGGGAAAGCAGCAAUGCGCUGAAAGAGGAGUCCGCGGCCGAUUAGCUAGUUGGCGGGGUAAUGGCCCACCAAGGCGAAGAUCGGUAGCCGGCCUGAGAGGGCACACGGCCACACUGGCACUGAAACACGGGCCAGACUCCUACGGGAGGCAGCAGUGGGGAAUCUUGCACAAUGGACGAAAGUCUGAUGCAGCGACGCCGCGUGAGCGAUGAAGCCCUUCGGGGUGUAAAGCUCUUUCGACGGGAACGAUAAUGACGGUACCCGGAGAAGAAGCUGCGGCUAACUACGUGCCAGCAGCCGCGGUAAUACGUAGGCAGCGAGCGUUGUUCGGAAUUACUGGGCGUAAAGAGUGUGUAGGCGGUGUUCCCAGUCUGUUGUGAAAUCUCCCGGCUUAACUGGGAGGGUGCAGCGGAAACUAGAAUGCUAGAGGGUGGGAGAGGUAAGCGGAAUUCCUGGUGUAGCGGUGAAAUGCGUAGAUAUCAGGAGGAACACCUGGUGUAGACAGCUUACUGGACCACUUCUGACGCUGAGACACGAAAGCGUGGGUAGCAAACAGGAUUAGAUACCCCUGUAGUCC
rnacentral:rRNA from 1 species